rnacentral:tRNA from 1 species
AGUGGAAUGCCUGAAUAAAGGAUUACCUUGAUAGGGUAAAUAAUGUAUGUUGUACUUUCACUA